AAUCGUUAUUCGUUAGAAAUGGUUUAUUGUUGCGUACAGACAUAAAUUAAAUUCCCCUCUAAAUCUUACCUUCCUAACAUCUCAUCUACAACAUUGGCUCAUCCGUCGUGCGAAGUACGUCCGUCAUUCUGUAAUAUAUCUUCAUAAUUUCCGCAUUCAAACGUAUUUCAUUAAAUAUUAUCACAGGAGAAUUUAGCGAGACGAGUGCCCCAGACUCUAAGAUCUCUACAUCACUAUGUUCGUUUUUUUUGUGAAAUCGACGUGCUGACCUUUUUUUUCCUUUUGCAAAGCCUCAAUACUUAAU